rnacentral:lncRNA from 1 species
UAGUUCAUUGCAUGGAACCUUCAUCAAUCUAACUAAUACUGAAUGAUGAAAAUUAUAGUGACCAUGCAGCAAGAUGGAAGCCUCAAUAACAAAGAGUUAUAUCCCAAGAGCUGGUUGUGGGUGGAAUUGUUACCGUCAACAGAUUGUCUUCAGCACUGAAUUUGAAUUCCUCAUUGUUUGAGUUUAGUAAUACUGAACUUGGCUUUGUCCUUGAAUAUGCUCCAAAACUCCCUCCUCCUCUUCCCUUGAUGUGUAUU